GAUGAACGCUGGCGGCGUGCCUAAUACAUGCAAGUCGAGCGAACAGAUGAGGAGCUUGCUCCUCUGACGUUAGCGGCGGACGGGUGAGUAACACGUGGAUAACCUACCUAUAAGACUGGGAUAACUUCGGGAAACCGGAGCUAAUACCGGAUAAUAUAUUGAACCGCAUGGUUCAAUAGUGAAAGACGGUUUUGCAGUCACUUAUAGAUGGAUCCGCGCCGCAUUAGCUAGUUGGUAAGGUAACGGCUUACCAAGGCAACGAUGCGUAGCCGACCUGAGAGGGUGAUCGGCCACACUGUAACUGAGACACGGUCCAGACUCCUACGGGAGGCAGCAGUAGGGAAUCUUCCGCAAUGGGCGAAAGCCUGACGGAGCAACGCCGCGUGAGUGAUGAAGGUCUUCGGAUCGUAAAACUCUGUUAUUAGGGAAGAACAAAUGUGUAAGUAACUAUGCACGUCUUGACGGUACCUAAUCAGAAAGCCACGGCUAACUACGU
rnacentral:rRNA from 1 species